CCCUUAGAUGUUCUGGGCCGCACGCGCGCUACAAUGAUGAAUUCAACGAGUUUAUAACCUUGGUUGAAAAGCCUGGGUAAUCUUUUGAACUUUCGUCGUGAUGGGGCUAGACCCUUGCAAUUAUUGGUCUCCAACGAGGAAUUCCUAGUAAACGCAAGUCAUCAGCUUGCAUUGAUUACGUCCCUGCCCUUUGUACACACCGCCCGUCGCACCUACCGAUUGAAUGGUCCGGUGAAAUCUUCGGAUUGAGACUUUGAUUUCUUCACGGAAAACGCUGUUUUAAGAAGUUGAUUAAACCUUACCAUUUAGAGGAAGGUGAAGUCGUANCA
rnacentral:rRNA from 1 species